rnacentral:rRNA from 1 species
CACGAACGCUGGCGGCAGGCCUAACACAUGCAAGUCGAGCGAAUCGAUGGGAGCUUGCUCCCUGAGAUUAGCGGCGGACGGGUGAGUAACACGUGGGUAACCUGCCUGUAAGACUGGGAUAACUUCGGGAAACCGGAGCUAAUACCGGAUACUUUCUUUUCUCGCAUGAGGGAAGAUGGAAAGAUGGUUCUGCUAUCACUUACAGAUGGACCCGCGGCGCAUUAGCUAGUUGGUGAGGUAACGGCUCACCAAGGCAACGAUGCGUAGCCGACCUGAGAGGGUGAUCGGCCACACUGGGACUGAGACACGGCCCAGACUCCUACGGGAGGCAGCAGUAGGGAAUCUUCCGCAAUGGACGAAAGUCUGACGGAGCAACGCCGCGUGAGCGAAGAAGGCCUUCGGGUCGUAAAGCUCUGUUGUUAGGGAAGAACAAGUACGAGAGUAACUGCUCGUACCUUGACGGUACCUAACCAGAAAGCCACAGCUAACUACGUGCCAGCCGCCGCCGUAAAAC